rfam:Podospora anserina genomic DNA, chromosome 4.
GGUGAGAUGGCCGAGCGGUCUAAGGCGCCACGUUAAGGUUUUCCUUAAUCAACAUCCUACUAGCUGGAUUCCGUGGUCCGAAAGGGCGUGGGUUCGAAUCCCACUCUCAUCA